AAGAUGGAAAGUGAAAACAAUUAAAAAAAAAAAAAAAAGACCCAGAGCAGUGUACCUUAAAAUGGUUUCUUCCAAUAUAGAAUGCUUAGGCCAAAAAGUGGGCACACAAAGCAAACUCGGAAAUGAAUAAGUUAUCUGCAGGUUCGGGAGGUGUGUGUGUG